CCUGUCGUACGAUGAUGCCCAGCUUGCUGGGUGGAUUAGUGGCGAACGGGUGAGUAACACGUGAGUAACCUGCCCCUGACUCUGGGAUAAGCGUUGGAAACGACGUCUAAUACUGGAUAUGACUGCCGGCCGCAUGGUCUGGUGGUGGAAAGAUUUUUUGGUUGGGGAUGGACUCGCGGCCUAUCAGCUUGUUGGUGAGGUAAUGGCUCACCAAGGCGACGACGGGUAGCCGGCCUGAGAGGGUGACCGGCCACACUGGGACUGAGACACGGCCCAGACUCCUACGGGAGGCAGCAGUGGGGAAUAUUGCACAAUGGGCGAAAGCCUGAUGCAGCAACGCCGCGUGAGGGAUGACGGCCUUCGGGUUGUAAACCUCUUUUAGUAGGGAAGAAGGGAGCUUGCUCUUGACUGUACCUGCAGAAAAAGCACCGGCUAACUACGUGCCAGCGGCCGCGGUAAUACGGAGGGUGCAAGCGUUGUCCGGAAUUAUUGGGCGUAAAGAGCUCGUAUGCGGUUUGUCGCGUCUGCUGUGAAAUCCUGAGGCUCAACCUCGGGCUUGCAGUGGGUACAGGCAGACUAGAGUGCGGAGAGGGAGAUUGGAAUUCCUGGUGUAGCAUUGGAAUGCGCAGAUAUCAAGAGGAACACCGAUGGCGAUGCAGAUCUCUGAGCCGUAACUGACGCUGAGGAGCGA
rnacentral:rRNA from 1 species